AUUUAGGUGAGACCGACUUCAUCCUAGGAAUCUUUUCGGCGGGACAGUACAGUAGUUUGGUAACGAACCUGGACUCGAUCUACUACUGAACUAGGAUAUUGUGCUGUGUAAAUAAUUUGCAUUGAGGAGAGUCCAUCAGCUCACUAACACGGGUGAGGGACAGGGACCAAAGAGGAGGCUCUACAACAUGAGGAAAGACGGCGAUCCUCAAGCAGUCAGUCCAUGAGCCCACGUCUUCAGGCCAGGGGCCCGAGAGAAAUUUCCAGUGACAUGGAUCAACAGAGAUCCUCAAACAGUCAGUCCAUGUGCCACGUUCCAGCCAGGGACCAAAAGGGGGACUUUCGUCAUGGGGCCAGACAGACAUCCUCAAGCAAAAUAGAGAGAUGCAUCCAGGCCACCCACUAGGAGGUGGGAAAUCGUACGAAGAGGUGGCUGUACCUGGCAGCAGACUGAGAUGGGGUGAGGAAGAGAAGCACAGACCAAGAACGGAAUGCCAGACAUUUGCCCUUUUUUAUGCCGAACACACACAGACACACACACACACACACACACACACACACACACACACCAGCAUAUAAACAUGCACAUAGACACAGGCGCACGUGCACACACAUACACAGACUCUCAAACAAGAUGAGUCUCUGGUGAUGUUGGCAAAUAAUCUGAAUCGAUACACACGGCAAUGAUUCCACCAUGGUGCCCCACCUACGCGAGUCCUGUCCUUCAGCAUUGACUUUCUCCCCAGGUGUGGUGUGCCUUCAUCCGAACCACAAUGGCAUCCCAAGCAGCAACAAAUACCUGCACGCAUGCAUGCUACGGUACACACACAAACACACUGGACUGUGAACUAGGUCAGACACACACACAUGCUCAAAGUAGCCAAGAUCGAAAAGGCUGCAUCGGUGGCUUGACUGCAUCCAUUUUUUGGAGGAACACCUUUGUCAAUUUGGAGGAACUUUGUUGUGGGAAGAUAUUUUAAAAUGUUGAUAGU